rnacentral:RNase_P_RNA from 1 species
CUAGAUAGUUGGCUUGUCGCUGUUAACUUUUAGUUAAUAGAGGAAAGUCCGGGCUCCAUAAAGACACGGUGCCAGUUAAUGACUGGCAAGGGUGACCUUAGGGAUAGUGCCACAGAAAAUAAACCGCCUUAUCAAGGCAAGGGUGAAAAGGUGUGGUAAGAGCACACCGGUUUUUUGGUAACAAAAAACGCAUGGUAAACCCCACUGGGAGCAAGGCUAAAUAGAGAUAACAUUGUGCUAAUUUAUUAGUACUAAAAACCGUCUUUAGUUCGUUAUCUGGGUUAGCUGCUUGAGUCUAAGCGUGAGUUUAGACCUAGAGAAAUGACUGCUUUAAUGACAGAACCCGGCUUACAGACUAUCUAGCAAA